rnacentral:rRNA from 1 species
AUUGAACGCUGGCGGCAUGCUUUACACGUGCAAGUCGAACGGCAGCGCGGGCUUCGGCCUGGCGGCGAGUGGCGAACGGGUGAGUAAUACAUCGGAACGUGCCCAGUAGUGGGGGAUAGCUCGGCGAAAGCCGGAUUAAUACCGCAUACGACCUGAGGGUGAAAGCGGGGGAUCUUCGGACCUCGCGCUAUUGGAGCGGCCGAUGGCAGAUUAGCUAGUUGGUGGGGUAAAGGCCUACCAAGGCGACGAUCUGUAGCUGGUCUGAGAGGACGACCAGCCACACUGGGACUGAGACACGGCCCAGACUCCUACGGGAGGCAGCAGUAGGGAAUUUUGGACAAUGGGCGAAAGCCUGAUCCAGCAAUGCCGCGUGUGUGAUGAAGGCCUUCGGGUUGUAAAGCACUUUUGGCGGGAACGAAAAGGACUGUGCCAAUACCACGGUUCGAUGACGGUACCCGCAGAAUAAGCACCGGCUAACUACGUG